CACUGACUUGCAUAUUCCCCUGGACAUGAUGGGUGUUCGGUGAAUGUUUUCCUGUGGUCCAUGUCCUUCCAGAUCCUUCUCUAAAAAUGUCACUGAGGUUUGCAAGUCCCUAAGUCACUCCCUCCAGUGAUAUCGCAGAAGAGCGACGUUUAAAGGGGCUAGCAACAGACGAGCCACGUCUUCGCCAUUCUUAUUUGAGACAUAAUUUCAUCUUUAUGCUCCAAAAACACCAAAAGAAGACAAUGCAAUCAUCUAUGCGUCUACUACAAAAAAGUGUAAUUUUAGCAUUUUACUAUAUGAGAUCCAGAAUUUUAAUUUUCUUAGAAAAUGACAUUUUAAUCAUAACAACAAUCCCUUGCACUUCCUCGUGUUUUAACCCUCUCUUUGCUUGGAAGAUCAUUAUCCUGAAUUUGAACUUUGUUCCUCUUGUAGAUGUUUGUAGGUUUUAUUAUAGUCUGAUAUGAUCAUAUGUAAUUUAUAAUCUUGCUUCUAUAGUAAAAUGUAUCCCAAGUGUCAUUUGGAAAAUA